rnacentral:rRNA from 1 species
AUUGAACGCUGGCGGCAGGCCUAACACAUGCAAGUCGAGCGGAGCGGCGGACGGGUGAGUACUGCCUAGGAAUCUGCCUGGUAGUGGGGGCUAACGUCCGGAAACGGGCGCUAAUACAGCAUCCUCUUCGAUGAGCCUAGGUCGGAUUAGCUAGGUGGUGGGGUAAAGGCCUACCAAGGCGACGAUCCGUAACUGGUCUGAGAGGAGGAUCAGUCACACGGGAACUGAGACACGGUCCAGACUCCUACGGUAGGCAGCAGUGGGGAAUAUUGGACAAUGGGCGAAAGCCUGAUCCAGCCAUGCCGAGUGUGUGAAGAAGGUCUUCGGAUUGUAAAGCACUUUAAGUUGGGAGGCGUUACCAACAGAAUAAGCACCGGCUAACUUCGUGCCAGCAGCGGCGGUAAUAC